CUCUAGCUAGAGUGGAAGCUCCAUGAGGGCAAGGGUUUCUGUCCGUGUUGUUUGGUUGGUUUCUUUCAUUCACUGCUGUAUUAUUCCCUGUGCCUGGGACACGGGCUGGCACACGUUAUGAACUUAACAAAUAUUUGCUGAACAAACAGACGAAUGAAUGAGUCCUGCAAUUUAUCCCAUGUCAUCGGAAGGAGCUAGAACCUUCUGAUAGGACAGGAGGAUGGGGGAAGGGUGAGGAGAGGAGGGCGGUUGGAGGAGACAUGAAGGAGGCCAUAUGGAAAGAGGAGGAGAGCAAAGGGGGAUGUCAUGAAAGGGACAUCUCCUUCUGUCACCCACCCCCUCUCCUCCAUUAUCUACUGGCUCAUUGUGAUGAAGCCCUAGCACCUGGUAUCAGCUUGGGGAGUCCCACAGGAAGCCCUCCUGGAGAUUUAGGAAUAGAAUGAGAUACGUCAGAGACUUCAGUGUGUGGAAUGUAACUUCCACUGUCGAGCUGGUAUGAAGGGGGCUCCGUCUUAAGGAGCAGGAGGCCAGGAGAAAGCCAAGGAGUCUUGUGGAAACCAGAUGCCGUUGGCAUCAGGGCAGAAAGUGUCUCUCCUCUGGUGCGGCUGUCCUGGCUCCUGGCACAGGUGUUGCUGCCCUGCCUACCUCAUCAGGGGUGUCACCUGAGACCUGCCAGAAGAGCACAGACUUCUUGACCCCAGAUUAUGGGCUCUCUGGGACUUGGAGUUACACAGGCCUGAGAUGAGUCUUGACGCCAACUUUAUUCUGCAUGUGAUGUUGAGAAGGUCUCUUUAAUAAAAAGGGGCACCAGUCAUAUUGGAUUGCAGCCCACCCUGAUGACCACGUUGCAACUUGAUUACCUCUGAAAGGAUCCUGUCUCCAGAUAACCCCACAUUCUGAGGGACUUCCAAAAAGGAGCCUCCUUGGAUCACUUGGGCCAGCAAGAGAGUCCCUUCCUGCAGAGAAGAUUCCACUAGGAGCUGGGGAGAAGUUUCCCGCGGUGACUGGGCCUGGAGGUCCCAUUCCUGUCACCUCCUCUGUGAUCUCUGCUCCGCAUUCUGGGCGCAAUCAGUAGUGUGCCCGGAGAAAAGGAAACCCCAGGUUGCCUGAGAGUCUUGGGCAACGUAAAUGUCUGGGCCCCUUAGUCAGUCUGUAAACUGUUCUCUCUGGCAAGGCGGAGGGCAGAACUGCUUGUUUGUUGGUUUUUAAAUCCGUAUGCUAAUCAA